rnacentral:lncRNA from 1 species
UGAAUCUGCAAAUUAGAGUAAAACUUACUUUUUUUUCCUUAGGUACCUGAGAAUCCCACUCAAGCCUCAUGAUCUACUUCUGCUACUCCAAUCAUCAGCUCACAAGGUCCCUGCUCCAGGCUAGAGCAGCCAGUGGAAGCACCAACACCAGUAUCACAAAGAGAUGAUGGAGUCAAAAUGACUGCUUUGGUUGGAGCUGCAUUUUUCUCUGAAGUCUGUAGAAGCUUGUUACCAUGUUAAAUGCCCAGCUUUCAUUAAAUCCACACCUGAAGGGUAAGUAAAUGAAUCCUGAAUUUCAUAUUUGAAGGUAUGUGUGCUUUU